UGACUGAGCGGCGGACGGGUGAGUAACGCGUGGGCAACCUGCCCUGUACAGGGGGAUAACAGUUAGAAAUGACUGCUAAUACCGCAUAAGCCCACAGCUUCGCAUGAAGCAGUGGGAAAAACUCCGGUGGUACAGGAUGGGCCCGCGUCUGAUUAGCUAGUUGGUAAGGUAACGGCUUACCAAGGCGACGAUCAGUAGCCGACCUGAGAGGGUGACCGGCCACAUUGGGACUGAGACACGGCCCAAACUCCUACGGGAGGCAGCAGUGGGGAAUAUUGCACAAUGGGGGAAACCCUGAUGCAGCGACGCCGCGUGAGCGAUGAAGUAUUUCGGUAUGUAAAGCUCUAUCAGCAGGGAAGAAAGUGACGGUACCUGACUAAGAAGCCCCGGCUAACUACGUGCCAGCAGCCGCGGUAAUACGUAGGGGGCAAGCGUUAUCCGGAUUUACUGGGUGUAAAGGGAGCGUAGACGGAAGUGCAAGUCUGAAGUGAAAGCCCGAGGCUCAACCCCGGGACUGCUUUGGAAACUGUAUUUCUAGAGUGCUGGAGAGGUAAGUGGAAUUCCUAGUGUAGCGGUGAAAUGCGUAGAUAUUAGGAGGAACACCAGUGGCGAAGGCGGCUUA
rnacentral:rRNA from 1 species